GACGAACGCUGGCGGCGUGCUUAACACAUGCAAGUCGAACGGAAAGGCCCUGCUUGCAGGGUACUCGAGUGGCGAACGGGUGAGUAACACGUGGGUGAUCUGCCCUGCACUUCGGGAUAAGCCUGGGAAACUGGGUCUAAUACCUGAUAGGAGCCAUUUUUAGUGUGAUGGUUGGAAAGUUUUUUCGGUGUAGGAUGAGCUCGCGGCCUAUCAGCUUGUUGGUGGGGUAAUGGCCUACCAAGGCGGCGACGGGUAGCCGGCCUGAGAGGGUGGACGGCCACAUUGGGACUGAGAUACGGCCCAGACUCCUACGGGAGGCAGCAGUGGGGAAUAUUGCACAAUGGGCGCAAGCCUGAUGCAGCGACGCCGCGUGGGGGAUGACGGCCUUCGGGUUGUAAACUCCUUUCGCUAGGGACGAAGCUUUUUGUGACGGUACCUAGAGAAGAAGCACCGGCUAACUACGUG
rnacentral:rRNA from 1 species